AGAGUUUGAUCCUGGCUCAGAAUCAACGCUGGCGGCGCGCUUAACACAUGCAAGUCGAACGAGAAAGCCCGCAAGGGUGAGUACAGUGGCGCACGGGUGAGUAACACGUGGGUGAUCUGCCUCUGGGUGGGGAAUAACUCUGGGAAACCGGAGCUAAUACCGCAUAAGCCGCCUCUGAAGAAGGGGACGGGAAAGGUGCAAACCGCCGAGAGAGGAGCCCGCGGCCGAUUAGCUGGUUGGUGAGGUAAAAGCUCACCAAGGCAAUGAUCGGUAGCCGGCCUGAGAGGGCACACGGCCACACUGGCACUGAAACACGGGCCAGACUCCUACGGGAGGCAGCAGUGGGGAAUCUUGCACAAUGGGGGAAACCCUGAUGCAGCGACGCCGCGUGAGCGAUGAAGCCCUUCGGGGUGUAAAGCUCUUUCGGCAGGAACGAUAAUGACGGUACCUGAAGAAGAAGCUGCGGCUAACUACGUGCCAGCAGCCGCGUUAAUACGUAGGCAGCAAGCGUUGUUCGGAAUUACUGGGCGUAAAGAGUGCGUAAGCGGUGCCCUAA
rnacentral:rRNA from 1 species